rnacentral:rRNA from 1 species
UACGAAGGGGGCGAGCGUUGUUCGGAAUUACUGGGCGUAAAGGGCGCGUAGGCGGCCCCUUUUGUCGCGUGUGAAAGCCCCCGGCUCAACUGGGGAGGGUCACGCGAUACUGAUCGACUCGAAGGCAGGAGAGGGUAGUGGAAUUCCCGGUGUAGUGGUGAAAUGCGUAGAUAUCGGGAGGAACACCAGUGGCGAAGGCGACUACCUGGCCUGUUCUUGACGCUGAGGCGCGAAAGCUAGGGGAGCAAACGGG